rnacentral:rRNA from 1 species
UACGAAGGGGGCUAGCGUUGCUCGGAAUCACUGGGCGUAAAGCGCACGUAGGCGGAUUGUUAAGUCAGGGGUGAAAUCCUGGAGCUCAACUCCAGAACUGCCUUUGAUAACUGGCGAUCUCGAGUCCGGGAGAGGUGAGUGGGAACUGCGAGUGUAGAGGUGAAAUUCGUAGAUAUUCGCAAGAACACCAGUGGCGAAGGCGGCUCACUGGCCCGGUACUGACGCUGAGGUGCGAA